UCAUAAGUACUCGUACAUACAUUGUGGGAUUCGUAAACACAUAGCACGCGAAACACACACACAUUGUGGGAUUCGUACACACAUAGCAUGCGAACCACACGCAAUUGUGGGAUUCGUACACACAUAGCACGCGAACCACACACAUUGUGGGAUUCGUAAACACAUAGCACGCGAAACACACACACAUCGUGGGAUUCGUAAACACAUAGCACGCGAAACACAAACACAUUCACCAAAUGUGUGUGUGAAUUGUUUUACGCGCAUUUGCAACGUGCUUCCAAUUACAAAUUCCCACUUACGAAUACAAAUUCCCACUUACGAAUGUGUGGAUCGUUUUGAUACCCGUCAUGCGCAACUGAGAAGAACACAUGCAUUUUUUUAACUGGAGCCCGUCUUCAGCCAAUCAGAUGUCUUCUUCUUAAACAGCCAAUCACAAGGGCUGGGCUGUUUCGUUACGUCACUGCUGUGCGCCUUCAAGUCCGGUGUACUGAGUGACAAGUGACAAAUGGGGAGCUUUUGUAAAAGUAGGAGCCCCGUUUUUGACAGCUCAACUCGACCGCGGGGACUAUCGAUGCAAGCUGAAGACGUCCCAUCCAUUUUGAGUGGGAGGACCUCCCAUGCACUUCAAAUGUAUUGGAUGUCAACUGGUGAAAAACUCAUUGAACCACUCAGCAGAGGGAUGAUGAGAGCAAGAUUAGAUGUCUAAUACUGUACUAUAUGUGGCACAUUUUUAACAGGCUUUUUUUCCGCUAAAUAAGUCUUUUUAAGAUUACUUUCUCCAUUUCAAGCCUAUUUGAAAGUCAUACUUGGGAAAAUUCAGACUUCUUAAUGUAUGAUUGUGAUGUCUAUGCUUAAACCAAUUUAAGACCAUUUUAAAAGGAAAAAAAUAGACAUUAUAAGCCUGUUAAAAAUGCUACCUACAGUGACAGUAUUUAAAGGAUGGUAGUCUAUUACGGAUAUAAAAAAAUAUAUUUUUUGAAAGACUUGGAGCAACAGAGCUUUCUUGCCAAAUGAAUCACAUUUGAUACACUUAGGAUUUAGAACUCUUUCCUCAAAAAAAAAAAAAAAAAAAAAAAAUGGAUGCAAGUCAACUCAUGCAUCUGCAUGUUCCAUGAGAAAAACAGGAUUUAACAAGGAAAAUAGAUAUUAGAGCGCUUAUUACACAUUUUUCUUUACAAAUUUGGAAAAAAAAAGGUUUAAGACCUUAUUUUUCACAUUUUGUGAUUCUCUGACAAUUGCUUCAUAUUGCAGGCAUUAAGGGGUUAAGACCUGCCACAUGAAUUUUACUACCUUUUUAAACACUUUUUUUUAUUGCGACAAACCUAAUAAGUGAUCAAUGAUGGCAAGAGAGGAUAAAGCGCAGCAGCAAAUCCUCAGAUCUGUUCUUUGGAUGCCUUUGAAAGUAAAUAGUGACAUUGAGAGCAAUCAGGAGUUCAAUUAUGUGAGGUGAGGAGACCAAGUAAGUUUUGAGACAUUUUUUUAAUUUAAAUAGACAUCUCAGACUCCCAGCCUGUAGGAGGGCACAGGCUAGAUCUCCUCGAGCCUUCAGAACUUCGGGAAGGUGGGUCUGGUUGUGCCUGAGAUCUCCAUUGGCCAUAUACUCUUCCGCAAACUGAAAUGGCAUUUUAGGCAUUCUGUUACAUAUCAGUGCUAAACAACAACAGCAGCAAAGUUUUACUGCAGAGACUCCGAAAUCUUAAAAUCAUUACCUUUAAUGUGAAAACCCCACAGCUACUGUUGUUCUGCUGCUUGUUAUGGGCCACAGUUUUGGUAGUCCAAGUUUCUAUUUGGAACUCACGGCCCGCCAACCUCAAGAAGUUCCUAAUUAUUGUUUUAUAAGCAAAACAAUGAAGAUGAACAUUGAACUAUUAACUUCCAUAUUAACAUAAUACUAGGAAUUUAAACUUUCUGAAGCGGUUACCUCCAAUUCCGCAAGAUUUUGCUCAUAUUUGUCCUCGUUACUCAAGGGAUCGUUGAUCACCAGUGUUCUCUUAGAAAUGUGGACAAUCUAUAAAAGGUUAGUUCCUUUGUGUAAUUCUGCACAAUGACAGAUUUAUGUAGUUAACUUACUAAUGAAAUUUAACUUCUGUAUGGCAUCAGCUAAAUUAAUAGCUAUAUAUAAUACAUUCCAGAAUCGGUAGGUCUUAAGAAAAUAUAAGAAACCCACUAACCACUAAAAUCCAAUGAGCGCAUACAGGACAGGACAGGACAAAUACACUUUUUUUUUCAACAGGGAAUUUCCUCUGAAGAACAUACAAUACCAAAUUAUUGUUAUUUUGGGUUACUGGCGUUAAAAUAAUAUAGCUAAAUAUUGGCAUGAAAUGGAUUACCUUUCUAACAGGCUGAAAUUUUCCCAAAAGCAGACUCCCAGCUACCACAGCAGAGAGUUGGUGAAUGGGCUCCUGUUAAAAAAAGGGGUAACAACAUUACAACUAUACUCCGGCAAAAAAUAAAUGCAUUGAGAAAAACUAUAUCCAGCACUUGGCUGCUGCCUUUCAAUGAGGAUAUGCAUGUAUGCAUCAAAUACUUGCAUAGCAAAAUAAAAAAAUUGGCAAAAGGCAAGAAUCUUUGUUAUUUGCUAAAGACUUAUUGCUCCCACUGACUUCAUCAGACAGCCAGCCGUUGCCUUUUAGCGUAUGAAAAGAUGUGUCAUAUAAUUUAUACGGUCCAACGACAGCCUCCACCUUGCCUUGAUCCUCUGCAGCCCACAGUAAUUUAACUGAAAACACAACAUUGUUAAAUCAAAAAAGUUAUUAUUUACGGCACUUGACCAGAUGACCAUCCGGUCAAAAUUAUCUACUGAAUAGGCCAAACCACCAAACAAAUCCUGUCGGUCGUUCACCAAUUUUGUAAGAGCUGUACGAAGUAGAAGGGUACAAUUAGAUAUACAUUUUAGAACACCAACAACAACUUGCCGUUUUAUGUUUGCUAUUUGUCCUCUCAUCCAGCCCAUUCGUCUUAGGAUGAUAUGCAGCUGUAACACUCCUUUCAAUGCACAGGAGGCACAAAGGUUAUCGUUGAGCUGAAAAAUUGAUACAUUGUAAAUAAAUCCAAUUAAAAAAAUAAAAAAUAAAUAAAAAAGGGGGAAAACAACAAUGCCAAAAUCCCACUGUGAAAAUAAUUUAAUGCAUUCAGAUACCUAAUUGACAAAUUCUCUUCCUUGGUCGGACAGGAUUCUUUGGGGGCAUCUGUGUCUAUAAACAAUUGAGCAGAUACGUUAUGCCACUUCUGAUGCUGUUUUGUUUUUUAAAGGAAAGGCCUCAACACACUUGGAAAAAUAAUCGGUGGCAGUAAGAAUGUACUGAAAGCCAUCCUUGGUUUUUGGGAGAGGCCCAGUCAGGUCUAUCCCAACCAACUCCCAAACAGCAGACACCUGUGAAAGGCAAAUCCAAUAUUGAACAUAUCUCUUACAGCUAUUCCUACAAAAUCUGAAGAGCACCAUGUUUUAUCUUUGAAGUUUUUAACUUAAUCUGGGUAGAUGGCUCCCACCUUGAUAUGAAGGGAACACAUAAAAACCUAAUUUUCACGCAUGUCCAAAUAUUAAAUACAUGCGUGACAUUAGACAAAGCUGUUUCCAAUUUUUCACGCAUGUAAUAAAAACCAGAAAUACAUUUCUUUAUUUGAUUACACACGGUCAGUAUGAAAAUAUACCUUAAUGCUUUGUAAUGGCUGUGUCACACACAGCCAAAGAGUUACCAGUCCUCUGACAUCCGUCGCAUUCAGAGACCUUAAAACAAAUCGUCAUGAGAAACGGGUCAGGUUAAUAAGAUCUGAAAUAGCUCACCAAAAUUAGUUAGUGACAAAAUGCAGAAAUAAACCAUCACAUACCCAUCAGUCAAUGUCCACCGUCAUGCCAUCCCAAUAAUUUCUGGAGUACAUUGAGGAUCUGGUUUUAACAGUGCCUGUGUGUGCACCAAUUGAAGCCGAGUGUACUUCAUUAAACAGUGAUCGUGCUUCUGUUUGGGACUGGAUCACAUAUAAACACAAAUACACACAAAUAACAAUUAUAUAGCUGUAUACACACACACACACACACACACACACACACACACACAUAUAUAUAUAUAUUAUAAAUAACAGCAACAUCACAAAUACUUUGCCUACUCAC